AGGAGGCGGGGCGCCUGUGGGAGCCGUGGAGGGAACUUUCCCAGUCCCCGAGGCGGAUCCGGUGUUGCAUCCUUGGAGCGAGCUGAGAGCUCGAGUACAGAACCUGCUAAGGCCAUCAAACCUAUUGAUCGGAAGUCAGUCCAUCAGAUUUGCUCUGGGCCGGUGGUACCGAGUCUAAGCACUGCGGUGAAGGAGUUAGUAGAAAACAGUCUGGAUGCUGGUGCCACUAAUAUUGAUCUAAAGCUUAAGGACUAUGGAGUGGAUCUCAUUGAAGUUUCAGGCAAUGGAUGUGGGGUAGAAGAAGAAAACUUCGAAGGCUUAAUCCUUACUUUAUACUCUCUUUCAGCUCUGAAACAUCACACAUCUAAGAUUCAAGAGUUUGCCGACCUACCUCAGGUUGAAACUUUUGGCUUUCGGGGGGAAGCUCUGAGCUCACUUUGUGCACUGAGGUGAUAAAAUAUUUUUAUCCAUUCACUUGACCCCUUAGAAAAACCUCUCUGAAAAUUAAUUGGAAUCAUUAUUAUUUACAGUUUUCUGUCUCAAUAUCUCAGCUUCCAGCUUCUGAAUUCUGUUUUGUCUCACUGCCAAUCUAAGUCCUAGUACUUCUGAAAUGUGAGCAAUAAAUGAAUGAAAUGAAGCAAA
rnacentral:lncRNA from 1 species